rnacentral:rRNA from 1 species
UGGGGAAUUUUGCACAAUGGGGGAAACCCUGAUGCAGCGACGCCGCGUGAUUUAGAAGGCCUUCGGGUUGUAAAAAUCUUUUUUACGGGAUGAACAUGACAGUACCGUAAGAAUAAGGUCCGGCUAAAUACGUUCCAGCAGCCGCGGUAAUACGUAUGGACCGAGCGUUGUCCGGAAUCAUUGGGCGUAAAGGGUACGUAGGCGGCCUAGUAAGUUAGAAGUGAAAUAAUAUAGCUCAACUAUAUAAAGCUUUUAAAACUGCUAGGCUUGAGAGAUGGAAGGGAAAGUGGAAUUCCUAGUGUAGCGGUGAAAUGCGCAGAUAUUAGGAAGAAUACCGGUGGCGAAGGCGACUUUCUGGUCAUCAUCUGACGCUGAGGUACGAAAGCGUGGGUAGCAAGCAGG